UACGGAGGGGACUAGCGUUGUUCGGAAUUACUGGGCGUAAAGCGCACGUAGGCGGAUUUGUAAGUCAGGGGCGAAAUCCCGAGGCUCAACCUCGGAACUGCCUUUGAUACUGCAAAUCUCGAGUCCGGAAGAGGUGAGUGGAAUUCCUAGUGUAGAGGUGAAAUUCGUAGAUAUUAGGAAGAACACCAGUGGCGAAGGCGGCUCACUGGUCCGGUACUGACGCUGAGGUGCGAAAGCGUGGGGAGCAAACAGG
rnacentral:rRNA from 1 species